CCUUCGUCGUCAUCGUCGCGCGGCGCCCGAUUGGCUGAGCACCAGCCUCAGUCCCGGCCUCCCAAUGGCGUGGUGAGAGUGAGAGAACCCCCUCCCCUACCCUUGCUGUCGACUCGUCUCGUCCCCUCCAGGGGGGGAAGAAGAUGAGCUGCUCCUCCUGCUGCGCCGCCGCCGCCGUUCCGUCUCCCCCGGUGGUUCUCUCCAUGCCGCGGGUGAGGUUCACUGCUUCCUGCUCCACAAGAACAGGCCAUAAGGUGCUUUUCUUCGGUUCCAGACAGUUUCCAAGCAUCACAUACAACCCAUCAAGCCGUGCGUCGUCACGGUUGUCGCGGAGAGAGGUAAUAGCUUUUGCCGGGCAACAGUCUUGGGACAUCGGCAGAUUUGUCAGGACUUUGUACUUCUUCAACGGCCCCCCAAACCCUCUGAAGAUUGUAGAGUCCAUCAUUAGCAGUAUCACUGGCUCUGCUUCUAGCGAAGCGCCGAAGAAAAUGGAAACAUCGGAUGUGGUGCUGGUCACUGGAGCCACUGGUGGUGUUGGGCGCCGGGUGGUCGACAUCUUGCGGAAGAAGGGCGUACCCGUUCGAGUAUUGGCUAGAAAUGAAGAUAAGGCAAGGAGCAUGUUGGGGCGUGACAUAGAUUUGAUCAUAGGAGAUGUUACAAAGGAAGAUACACUCGAUCCUAAGCUCUUCGAAGGGGUCAGGAAAGUAGUGAACGCUGUAUCUGUCAUAGUAGGACCAAAGGAAGGUGAUACACCAGAUAGACAGAAGUACAAACAAGGCAUCAAGUUUUUUGAACCUGAGGUAGCGCAUCGAGACAUCUUCUCAUAUCAAGGGACCUUCACCUGAAAUGGUAGAGUACAUCGGAAUGCAAAACUUGAUUAAUGCCAUAAAGAACAGUGUUGGACUAAGUGAAGGGAAACUUCUAUUUGGGCUUAAAGGCAACUUAUCUGGAAAGAUUGUGUGGGGAGCUCUUGAUGAUGUUGUAAUGGGUGGUGUUAGUGAAAGUACUUUUCAAAUCCUACCAACAGGAAGUGAAACUGGUGGGCCAACUGGGUUGUUCAAAGGUACUGUAUCUACUUCAAAUAAUGGUGGGUUUACUAGUAUAAGGACAAAGAAUUUCACUGUGCCAGAGGACCUGUCAGCAUACGAUGGUAUUGAAUUACGAGUUAAAGGUGAUGGGCGACGGUAUAAACUCAUUAUUCGGACAAGCUAUGAAUGGGAUACUGUUGGCUAUACAGAAAGCUUUGACACAACCAAGGGAGAAUGGCAAAGUGUAUGUCAUACUAUGCUGUAAAAUAUCUUCAUUGUUUGUUUCAGUGACGUAGAGCUAUGUUCUUAUUCCUGGAUCAGGUUAAAAUACCUUUCUCUUCUCUGAAACCUGUAUUUCGUGCUCGUACUAUGACUGAUGCUCCACCCUUCGAUGCAAGCAACAUUACUUCACUGCAGCUUAUGUUCAGCAAGUUUGAAUAUGAUGGAAAACUCAACCCAACAUUUAAUGAAGGUCCAUUCGAGCUUCCUUUUUCAAGUAUUAGAGCAUACAUCAAUGAGCCGAUCACUCCAAGGUUCGUUCAUGUGAGUUCCGCAGGAGUUACAAGGCCUGAAAGACCGGGUCUAGAUUUAAGCAAGCAACCGCCUGCUGUUCGCUUGAACAAAGAGCUUGGCUCCAUCUUAACUUAUAAGUUGAAGGGAGAGGAUUUAAUUAGGGAAAGUGGUGUUCCGUACACUAUUGUGCGACCAUGUGCAUUAACUGAGGAACCAGCUGGAGCAGAUCUCAUAUUUGACCAGGGGGACAAUAUCACAGGGAAGAUAUCAAGGGAAGAAGUUGCCCGCAUUUGUGUAGCGGCUCUGGCAAGCCCAAACGCUGUGGGGAAAACUUUCGAGGUCAAGAGCACUGUCCCAUUCAGCGAACCAUAUGUGAUUGACCCUUCAAAUCCCCCUCCUGAAAAGGACUAUGAAGUGUACUUCAAAGAACUAAAAGAACGCAUCACGGGUAAAGAGGCACUGGAAGCUACACCUGCUCAGGUCUGAAGAAUCGCUGCAUGAAGAAUGCCAUCUGCUUUUGGUGAAAUUUGACGUGGUAACCCUCCACUCCCCAUGGUGAUUUUAAUACCAAAGGGGGGAUCCUCUGUUAAAGAAGAUGCUUUCGAUAUGGAAUGUGAAAUGAGAAGGCAAUGGCUACCAUGCAUGUAUAUGAAGAGAAACGUGAGUCGCAUAGAAUUGUGGGUGACACUUGGAUGGUAAAUCUAGGAUAUGAAUCUAUAGGGCAGAUCUAUGUAUCUGUAUUUUUAUUGUUUCACAAAAAUUCUAUGUGUCUGUAUUUUGUCUCUUACUUGUAGAGUGCUGCACGUGUUGAACAGAAAGUAAAUUUAAUUCUAUAGCAUAACAUAUAUCACGUGGUUUAAAAGAAUUCAUUAACCAUCAAA